rnacentral:rRNA from 1 species
GACGAACGCUGGCGGCGUGCUUAACACAUGCAAGUCGAACGGAAAGACCCUGCUUUUGUGGGGUGCUCGAGUGGCGAACGGGUGAGUAACACGUGAGUAACCUGCCCUUGACUUUGGGAUAACUUCAGGAAACUGGGGCUAAUACCGGAUAGGAGCUCCUGCUGCAUGGUGGGGGUUGGAAAGUUUCGGCGGUUGGGGAUGGACUCGCGGCUUAUCAGCUUGUUGGUGGGGUAGUGGCUUACCAAGGCUUUGACGGGUAGCCGGCCUGAGAGGGUGACCGGCCACAUUGGGACUGAGAGACGGCCCAGACUCCUACGGGAGGCAGCAGUGGGGAAUAUUGCACAAUGGGCGGAAGCCUGAUGCAGCAACGCCGCGUGCGGGAUGACGGCCUUCGGGUUGUAAACCGCUUUCGCCUGUGACGAAGCGUGAGUGACGGUAAUGGGUAAAGAAGCACCGGCUAACUACGUG